AUGGACGAGGAGUACGAGGCGUUCCGGCAGCAGGUGAUCCAUGGGGUCGAGGAGAAGGGCUACUUCGAGGUCGGCGUGAACUUCCUCGCCGGCGAGGGGAGGACCAAGGGAUACGUCAGUAAACGAUUUGCCGGCAUGGACCCGAGUGAAAUCGCUCGCCGUUUCUCUACCCGUGAGGAAGAGCAAGGUGAUGGUUACAAAUACAAUGCCUACGUUGGUGACGAGGAGGAUGCUCUGGUCAGCGAUGGAGACGAAUAG
rnacentral:rRNA from 1 species